rnacentral:rRNA from 2 species
UAGCAUAUCAAUAAGCGGAGGAAAAGAAACCAACAGGGAUUGCCCUAGUAACGGCGAGUGAAGCGGCAACAGCUCAAAUUUGAAAUCUGGCUCUUUUAGGGUCCGAGUUGUAAUUUGCAGAGGGCGCUUUGGCGUUGGCAGCGGUCCAAGUUCUUUGGAACAGGACGUCACAGAGGGUGAGAAUCCCGUACGUGGUCGCUAUCCUUCGCCGUGUAAAGCCCCUUCGACGAGUCGAGUUGUUUGGGAAUGCAGCUCUAAAUGGGAGGUAAAUUUCUUCUAAAGCUAAAUACUGGCCAGAGACCGAUAGCGCACAAGUAGAGUGAUCGAAAGAUGAAAAGCACUUUGGAAAGAGAGUCAAAUAGCACGUGAAAUUGUUGAAAGGGAAGCGCUUGCAGCCAGACUUGCCUGUAGUUGCUUAUCCGGACUUUUGUCCGGUGCACUCUUCUGCGGGCAGGCCAGCAUCAGUUUGGGCAGUUGGAUAAAGGUCUCUGUCAUGUACCUCUCUUCGGGGAGGCCUUAUAGGGGAGACGACAUGCAACUAGCCUGGACUGAGGUCCGCGCAUCUGCUAGGAUGCUGGCGUAAUGGCUGUAAGCGGCCCGUCUUGAAACACGGACCAAGGAGUCUAACAUCUAUGCGAGUGUUUGGGUGUCAAGCCCAGACGCGUAAUGAAAGUGAACGGAGGUGGGAACCCUUUGGGUGCACCAUCGACCGAUCCUGAUGUUUUCGGAAGGAUUUGAGUAAGAGCAUGGCUGUUGGGACCCGAAAGAUGGUGAACUAUGCUUGAAUAGGGUGAAGCCAGAGGAAACUCUGGUGGAGGCUCGCAGCGGUUCUGACGUGCAAAUCGAUCGUCAAAUUUGGGCAUAGGGGCGAAAGACUAAUCGAACUAUCUAGUAGCUGGUUCCUGCCGAA